GUCUUCUUGGUACAGCUGGCAGUGUGUCAGUCUCAUAAUUUUGAAGGCCCUGAGUUCAAGCCUCAGAGAGGGCA
rnacentral:tRNA from 1 species